rnacentral:rRNA from 1 species
UACGGAGGGGGCGAGCGUUGUUCGGAAUUACUGGGCGUAAAGGGCGCGUAGGCGGCCCGCUAAGUCGAACGUGAAAUCCCCAGGCUCAACCUGGGAACUGCGUCCGAUACUGGCAGGCUUGAAUCCGGGAGAGGGAUGUGGAAUUCCAGGUGUAGCGGUGAAAUGCGCAGAUAUCUGGAGGAACACCGGUGGCGAAGGCGGCAUUCUGGACCAACACUGACGCUGAGGAGCGAAAGCCAGGGGAGCAAAGCGGG